GGCUGGGGCGUGAGCGCAGGCACCCUCCCCGAGCCGGAGCGGGAGGGAAGCCGGGGGAAGCGGGGAGGGGGAUGUUAUCUACCUCCCGUCCCCGCCCCCAAGCAGAUUUCCCUGCUUCAGACUAGGCAGGUGGAGUUUUGUUUGUUUGAGUUGAUGUUUUUCUCCUGUAAGUAUGUGUAUACCCUGCACAGCAGGUUCGAAUAAACUUUUUUUUUUUUUUGGUCUUGUUUGAAGUUUGGGGUUGCCUCCUUUCCUGUAAGCCAGUUCUAAAGCCUUCUGAUAAAUGAAAUCGUGUUCCUUCUGUCAGUGCACUCAAGUCUUCAUGAUUUUUAAGUUAGUUGAGCCUACUUAGAAAGUAAGCCUGAGUGAUGUCUAAGCAGUAGCCUACCGUUUGGGGAUGAGAGACCCGGGUUUUUCGGGCAGCGAGGCUUGGAAAAUCGGGUUGACAGUUAUUUUGUGCCGUGCGAUCUCCAUCCGCAAGGGAGGAGGGACACAGAAUGCUGUGGUUUUCCGAGGGCCGUGGUUUAUUCAGUCAGUCCGUCCUCGAGGGUCCAGGCUCCCUAGUAGGACAGGUUAUUGGAAGAAGAGAGAGGCUGCUGCAGGUGUUUGGACUGAAACUGAAAAUAGCAACAAACAGUAAUUCCAGGUCUCCCUGGGUCAAGUUGUUUAUUAUUUGCAACACCUGAGAUAUCUGCUGAGCAUUCUGCUAUGUUGUGGGCUAUGACAAGAUCCAUCUUUAAACUGUCCCAGCCUUCGAAUGGACUAGGACUCAACUAGUCCUAAAUGGACUCAGCUACCAGAAUGCUGACAUUCCUAAUGUGUGUGUCACUUGAUCAUAUCCGAGGAGCUGUGCAAGAGGAGGAAUUCCUGGCUUUAAGGACUUUGCAAUUUGGGGAACUCUGAGUGCCAAGACUUAUGUUUUUACUAACUGAAACCCCCCCAAAUUUGUCUGUAUUUGCAUAAAGUAUCAAUUCAUUAUUAAAUUGGGAUUCUUUGUCUGGA